rnacentral:rRNA from 1 species
CCUACGGGAGGCAGCAGUAGGGAAUAUUGCUCAAUGGGGGAAACCCUGAAGCAGCAACGCCGCGUGGAGGAUGAAGGUUUUCGGAUUGUAAACUCCUUUUGUUAGAGAAGAUAAUGACGGUAUCUAACGAAUAAGCACCGGCUAACUCCGUGCCAGCAGCCGCGGUAAUACGGAGGGUGCAAGCGUUACUCGGAAUAACUGGGCGUAAAGAGCGCGUAGGCGGGAGAGAAAGUCAGAUGUGAAAUCCUAUGGCUUAACCAUAGAACUGCAUUUGAAACUGUUAUUCUAGAGUAUGGGAGAGGUAGGUGGAAUGCUUGGUGUAGGGGUAAAAUCCGUAGAGAUCAAGAGGAAUACUCAUUGCGAAGGCGACCUGCUAGAACAUAACUGACGCUGAUGCGCGAAAGCGUGGGUAGCAAACAGGAUUAGAUACCCUUGUAGUC